AUGCUGUGGGUAGCGCCUGCAUGGCUUCCUGCCUACUGCCCUUGCUUAGGCCCUUCCUCCUCCUCCACCUCCCCUGAACUUUCGUGCUCUGACCGCACUGUGCCCACCUGUGUGCUGCGUCCUCCCUCCCUCUGGCCCGUGUCCCACCCCUCCCAGCACUGCCUGGCCCCUCCAAACCUCCCCUGCCUUCUCUUGGGCAGUUCCCAUUGCCUGCUACCUGCAUUGGCUGACCAUCCCUGCAGGGCCCCUUCCUCAGCCGGCCCUGGCUCCCAGGUGCCCUGUCUGAGAGGAGGAGGCAUCUCGUCCAGUUUCGAGGCUGCAGUAGAUGCUCUCGAAUCCCAGUGGUCCCCAGUGCGAAGCAGACUCCGCGAACGUGUGUGGACUGGCUGGACGGACAGACAAAGAGGAACAGACUUGGGGACCUCAAAGCUUUAUUUUGUACUCCACUUGAGGGAGAGCAUCAGAGGACUCUGCAGGGCAAACAUCGCCUGAAUAGUUCACAAAACUGCACCACUGGAUACUUCAAGAGCCCCCUCUGGAAACAUGCAGAGGUCAUUUAACAUGGAAAUCUCUAUAAAUUCACACGCACAUAUUUCUGAGGGCAUGUGGAAGAAAUCCCACUCGUGUAUAGGACCAGGACGGAAGCCCUCUCCUCUUUCUCGCCUGUCCUCUCCUUCCCUUGUAUGUGCUCUAAACCUCUCUGUGGUGAUGUCACUGUUAGGAUUUGGAAGCUGAGGCUCCUGUCACUGUGCUCUACCACAGGCCCCGCUUGUCCUCAGUUCCUGGGGCAACAGGAGUAGGGAUGGCCUGAGGAUGGCCACGGUUACAUCUGUGCUGCCCUUUCCUCUCCAGUGCCCCACCUCCAAACUGCUGUCCUCCCUCCUCUGUGAGCAGCCAGCAGCCUUCUGGAGGAUCAGCAGAUGAAUAGCGUCCCAUCUCCUGGCCCACACCCUGAGCCAUCCAUGUUCACAACCCAUUCCAGGGGGAAGAGAAG
rnacentral:lncRNA from 1 species